GAUGAACGCUGGCGGCGUGCCUAAUACAUGCAAGUCGAGCGAACAGAUGAGGAGCUUGCUCCUCUGACGUUAGCGGCGGACGGGUGAGUAACACGUGGAUAACCUACCUAUAAGACUGGGAUAACUUCGGGAAACCGGAUCUAAUACCGGAUAAUAUAUUGAACCGCAUGGUUCAAUAGUGAAAGACGGUUUUGCUGUCACUUAUAGCUGGAUCCGCGCCGCAUUAGCUAGUUGGUAAGGUAACGGCUUACCAAGGCAACGAUGCGUAGCCGACCUGAGAGGGUGAUCGGCCACACUGGAACUGAGACACGGUCCAGACUCCUACGGGAGGCAGCAAUAGGGAAUCUUGCGCAAUGGGCGAAAGCCUGACGGAGCAACGCCGCGUGAGUGAUGAAGGUCUUCGGAUCGUAAAACUCUGUUAUUAGGGAAGAACAAAUGUGUAAGUAACUAUGCACGUCUUGACGGUACCUAAUCAGAAAGCCACGGCUAACUACGUG
rnacentral:rRNA from 1 species